rnacentral:misc_RNA from 1 species
AAGUCGUAACAAGGUAACCGUAGGUGAACCUGCGGUUGGAUCAUUACUAAAUGAUAGUUUAUAAGGCUUGAGCUGAAAUUUUUUCUGCUCGUCUAUAAACUUUUUCAACCCUUUGUGAAUUUGUGACUGUUUAUUUGGGUUUUACUUUUUUUAAAACCCAAACUUUUUUAAAAACCAAUAUUUUUUUUUUAGCCUGAUUUCUAAGUUAAAUGAUUUAACAACUUUUGACAACGGAUCUCUUGGCUCUC